UGCUAUAAGAAUAGGAUGAAUAUGGAGAUCGGCUCCUAUCCCUUCGGCUCCUCUUGCUAUACCUAUGCCCCACUGGCAAUGGCGAACGCCUUCGCCUAUAUGAGGGUGACCGAGAUCGCGAUCGUGACAAAUCCCUAGGCAUUUUUCCACAGACUUGACUAUACAAAGUAUCUGAACUCCAGAUGAAUGUUGCUCAAUACCAAGCUUCAAGUGCAAAAAAAUUUUCGUCCUUGUGAAAACAAAUCUCAUCAAAUAUCCAACCUUGCCGAGCAACACACCCUUUCAAGAAAUCAAUUUUCUAAUCCCUCAAUAGAUACAGAAGGUCCUUUGA
rnacentral:misc_RNA from 1 species